rnacentral:lncRNA from 1 species
CACUUUCUGAGCUUUCUUUGUCUACCUCAAUAUGAUAUAGAAGUAAAAGUUAACCGUGGAAGAAUCUGGUGUGUCCUGUGUUUAUUUCCCGCGGGACGGGGAUAAGCUCGGGAUACUUGGUGCUGAAACCCGGGAAAAAACGCCUUAACAACGCCGGCACCUAGAGGAGACCCUCCGACCAACCGGAGCAGAUUUCAGAACCACGGUGGAUUUGGAAUUCCGAGAGCAUGCUGAAUCCUUGUAAGUAACUCUGAUCCUUCUUAAUCCCUCCCCUUAACUGGAAGGCGGCACUGAAAGCCUUUUGUUCUCAUGCUGGCUGUGUUAACCCUAUUUCUCCUGGUUUGAUCCUGCACUCACCAGAAGUGGCGCUGAAAGAAAAAGUGUUGAAUGCUGUGAAGCACAGUCAGACGGACGUAUAUAAGCCGCAGUGCUCGUCUCAUAUUUAAGCCUCUCGUAGAUAAGGGAGCAGUAUGGGAAAUUCACAUUCUGUAACUACAGCUCUACACUCUGUUUUAAAACAGCGAGAGAUAAAAGUUUCUACAAGAACCUUAGAAACGUUCAUUAAGGAAAUAGAACGUAUAUCACCUUGGUACGCGUGUUCAGGGUCGUUAACUCUUUCCUCUUGGGAGAAAUUAAGGGAAGACUUAGCUAAGGAACAACAGAAUGGGAAAUUAAAGGCAGGGACCAUGCCAUUAUGGAAACUGGUGAGAUCGUGCCUGGAGGAUGAGAGAUGCCGUCCAGCAAUAAUAACAGGGCAGGCAAUAUUAGAAGAAGCACAGGACAGCAUGGCAGAAACGGAAUGGUGUGAAAGGUUAGGAGCUCCAAAAAAGGAAAAUGUGCACAAAGUAAAAAGCCCUUCCAGAGACCUUGAGUCAGAGGAAGUGAAAAAUUUGAGGAUAAGUCCUCAGGGAGAGAA